CACGUAGGGCGCAAGCGUUGUUCGGAAUUAUUGGGCGUAAAGAGCUCGUAGGCGGUCUGUUACGUCUGCUGUGAAAACCCAGGGCUUAACCCUGGGCUUGCAGUGGAUACGGGCAGACUAGAGGCAGGUAGGGGAGAAUGGAAUUCCCGGUGUAGCGGUGAAAUGCGCAGAUAUCGGGAGGAACACCGGUGGCGAAGGCGGUUCUCUGGGCCUGACCUGACGCUGAGGAGCGAAAGCGUGGGGAGCGAACAGG
rnacentral:rRNA from 1 species